AUUAAGGUGGCAGAGUUUGGAAUUGCAAAAGAUCUAAGACCUUUGGACAGAGGUUCAACUCCUCUCCUUGAUU
rnacentral:tRNA from 1 species